rnacentral:lncRNA from 1 species
AAAAGAGAGAGAGAGAAAGAUGGAGAGAGAGAACCGGGAGUAGGGAGAAGAAGAGAGGGAGAGAGAGAAAGAGAGAGAGAUGGGGAGAGAGAGAAAGAGAGAAAGAGAGAGAGAGCCCGACAGAGAGAACUGAGAAGAAGGGGGAGAGAGGGGGAGAGAGAGAAAGAGAGAAAGAGAGAGAGAGCCCGACGGAGAGAACUGAGAAGGAGGGGGGCUGCUGUGGAGUCGA